rnacentral:tRNA from 1 species
GGGCCGGUGGUCUAGUGGCUAUGACGCCGCCCUUACGAGGCGGAGGUCGGGGGUUCGAGUCCCCCCCGGCCCA